GGGGAGGUGCCGGAGUGGUCGAACGGGGCCGCCUGCUAAGCGGUUAAGGGGUUAGCAGCUCCUUCCAGGGUUCGAAUCCCUGCCUCCCCGCCU
rnacentral:tRNA from 1 species